CAGAUACUUCUGUAUUUGUUUUGGUUUUCAAUCAAGCUUUGUUCUGGAUUUGUUGUCUUUUAUUAUUAUUGCCAACACAGCUUUAAACCUCGGCAGAAAUAGGAAUUUCUCAGUUCUUUCAGAAAUGUUACUUGUGAGCUUGUUGAAGAUCAAGCAAAAGCAAAUUUUCAAAUGGACACAACAUUCACUUAAGUUUUCUUUUAAAUUUUUAACAAAAACCUAUUCUUACUUGUCUAUAUUUUUACAGGAUUAAAUAUAACAUAAGUUAGUCUGAUACUUUGUCACCAAAACACUGUAUUUGAUACAUGAACAAAACAGCAAUCACAGUUUACGAUGACAAUGUUGGUUAGCUUUACAGCAACGGAAUCCUGUAGAUGCAUCCUCCAACAAAAAAUUGUUCUUCGAAUAACUUAUUCCAACAAUUGUUGAUUGACUGCCACAGCAUGUCUUUUGACCUAAUUUUAAUUUCUCUUUUGUUAAUCAUUUCCAGUAUUUCUUGCCAAACUUUCUCCAGUGGCAUUACAUCUCCGAAAUCACCAUGCCAGGGUAGUUUCUGAAUUUUCUCUUUGUUAUCCUUGAACCACUGCUGCACAUAUCUUGAUGUGUGUACUGGAUAUUUGUCGUGAACAAAUUUCAUUGGAAUGAGACUGCUGUUUUCUUCAACCAUUUGUUUAAGAAAAUAAACGUAUUGGCUAGUA